GAAGAAGAAGGCUAUGGCGGAACUCCCACAGAGGCCAGCAGGUGGAUGAGGAGAGACCCGAGGCGGCCGCCGGUCUGAGUGUCAGGUGAACUGAACUUCAGGACAGUUAGCAUGCAGUCUGGAGCAGCCAGGGAUCGACCCAAAAACCAUCUGAUUAGUAGAUGACCUGCUCCACCUCCUGAGCCACAGCCGCCCCUUUUAGAGGUAAAGAAUCAAUUAGAAAGAGCUGGCGUCAUGUUGUGGAAGCUGCCAUCUUGCCCCCACCAUCAUACGCUGGCUGAGAUGGGCAUCGCUGCUCCGCCUUUUCAUGUUUUAUGCAUUACGCUGACGGACGGAUGGAUGGACAAUGAAUGCUUUCUCGUCCUUCUUGUCAUGCACCAUGGAAGUGUCUGAGGGGCUUUUCCACUUGGAAUCGGGAUACUGUGUCCACACUUCAGAGGUGGAGUUUCCAGCAUCUCACCUGGGCCUCAUCUGCAAACAAUCAGCAGGAGGGCUUCUUAAACCAGCGCUGCCUGCUACUCCUCGCCAGUUUGUUCUGCCAUCUCCAGUGCUUCUCCAGUGGGACUGAAGCCAUCCAUCCCACCAGCCAGCGGCCCUUCGGGUGAGAGGAAGGGCCCCGUCGUCAUGGCGCCUGUCAACGUGGAGCCAGCCGGGCGAGUUUGUCCUAGAAAGCUUAUUUGCCAUCUUCACCUUGCUCUCUGAACGCAAGAGCUGUAUCAUCAUGGCUGAACCACUGGAGAAGCCGCUAAACAAAUCUCUGCAGAGGAGAAGAGCCACAGUUUGACCAGCUGAUCAGCUCUAUGAGUUCUCUUGCUGGGUACUGCCUGCCAUCCAUCCUGAAGACUCUGUUCGACUGGUACAAGAGGCAAAAUGGCCUGGAGGACGAGUCCCAUGAACAUCGACCCGGGGCCAAGUCAAAAAAGAGUCUCUGUUCUCCUCCUGACCUACCUGACUCUGGAGUAGUUCCUCGUCAUCGUUUUCCCUUUUAGCAAUUUGCGCCCAGGCAAACUUCAGACAGGGGUAAGUUGCACUAGUCAUAAUAAUGUGCCUGAUGAAGGUCAUCCAACUGUUGUCUUUGUCCACAAACUAAUUAUCGCUCUUAUUUUGAAGAAAGACUGGGUUUGUGCUGCUGGAAUAUCAUCUUUAGGUUGGUGUUUAAGUGGAUCAGAAAGUGUGGAACAACCUUUAAGACUUCAGUGAGAGAAUUUGUUUUUAAAGCACAAAUAAAAACAACACAUGUUCAAGUUACAUCAACCCAACAAAACCCUCCUCUGGCAUUAACAUCAGCACACAAACUGUUAGCUGCGAGCUUCAUGCCUCCAGUAGGUGUAAAGUGCGGGUGGCUCAUUUUAGUCCACUAGUAAUCUUAGCUGUAAGGGAAAACAGUUUGUGUGGAGAACAAAAGAGUGAUAUCCUUUGUUCUAUUGGUAUGAUAUGAGGUAUAAAGUAACCCCUGAAUAUCACCAGAAGUCCCCAAAAUACUGACCAUUUCCAGAUUUGCAAAUUGCAAAUCCAAACAAUGCAAAAUUGUUCAUUAUCACAAAAUAUACAAAGUGUAAAGUACAAAAACUACGCAGUACAAAUCUGUGAAGCAGAACUGUCGGCUUGCACACUUUUCCUCAGUUCAAAACCGCUUAAAUACUGUUUAAUACUGUAUGAACUGCAUAACGCUGUUUGAUAGUCCCAGCCAGCAUGAAAAGCAUCUCUUUAGGUCUGAACCUGGUGGCUUUCCUGGUGAUUGUAUUCUCCUACUGCAGUAUGUUCUGCUCCAUCUUUAAAACCGGCAUCACUGCCACUGACCUGAGGAGCAGACUGCACAGAGAUGUAGCUAUGGCCAGCAGGUUUUUCUUCAUAGUGUUCUCUGAUGCCCUCUGCUGGAUUCCUAUAUUUUUGGUGAAAGUCCUCCCGCUGCUGGAGGUGCAGAUACCUGGUAAGAAGUGAAACAGCUGCCUUAUAGUAUCUUAGAGGUUUUACAUGGAUUUUUAAUAUAGGUCACUGUGUUACUUUAUAGAAUAGUUUGCUGAAAAGCAUCAACACAGUUCAAUUUCUCUAAAUGUCAGUCGCUUGUGAAAUGUUUCCUUCCUCGGGAUACUAUCUCCAGCUGGGUUGUCAUCUUCAUCCUCCCCAUCAGCAGUGCCUUCAACCCCAUCCUGCUCACCUUGACCACCAGAGAGCAGGUGGAAGUUUUACUCUGUCACUGGCAGAGGAAACACACAUUAAAGAAAGACGGCAAAAGCCUUACCUCGUCCAGAUCUUUAUGGAGACGUCACAGGGUCUGUGCUACAGCCACCCGUUUACCUCCAGCAGGUGUCACUUAUAAGCACAGAACCUCGCUAUGCCUGAUGAUGUAUUUGUAGAGAAACAGCAUUUUGUAAGCUACUUUUUAUGGUUUUACUCCAUCUUUAAGAACAAAGUGUGCUUCAACAAGACUUCAACAGACUUUUGCUUGUAAAUAAUUAGCAGUCACUGUGCCGUCUCAUCGCCCUCUGACAUUUAUAAAAUGUGAUGACAACCCCAGAAACAAACACCAACCACCCUCAGCAGAUGACUGUCUCAUCAUGCCGUUCAAGCUACGCGUUGACUUUAUAUUUGCAGUGAAAUUUGAAAUGAAACCAUUUCCAUUUAUUCACUUACCUUCUUCAUAAGGUGAUACAGGUACAUCCUGGAGAGUCAUGUAGAGGCAGACAUCCACCAAUGUUCACAUUCACACUCACAUCCAGGGUAGAAUCACCAAAUAUCCUAAAAUGAAUAUAUUUGGACACAAAUAGUGGUUUUACAGCUUUUUUUCAUCCCUGGCUUAAAAUUCUUUAAGUCUAUCAAGAAAAGUGUUUAGAUGACUCUUGUAAAAUGCACACAUAGAUCCUAACCCGUCACUGUGGUGAACUUUGUAUGAAGUUUAGAAGCUGUGGGACAAACAUAGAGGGACUGGCAAAUACCAGUGACACAAUAUUAAUGGAUCACAUAUUUUUAUAUACAGAUAAGCUUUCCAAUUCAUCUCUCCCCACCUACUGGUUUCUUUGUCUUCUUGCCCUGCAAUUCCUCCAUCCUCAUCACUUUUUGGGUGUCUGUUUAACUUUCCCCAUUAUUCUUGCUUUCAUGUCAUAUUCUUCCAUUUACAUGUAUCUGCUUUGACUGGACUAAUGUUGAAACUGAACCAACAUGCUGCAGAGUCUUUGUGCUAUAGUCAUGCUGUUUAAGAGAACUGCUCUGAACUCCUCAUUUGACUGACUGCAACUGGAUGAAAGCAUUUUGUACACGCAUGUCAUGUUACAUGUAAUUAACUAACUGACCAAUGAGGAGACUGAAUUGUGACACUCUGAACAUCUGCGCACGAGACGUUGCAGCUGGACUUUUGCAGCUUUCUUUCAUGUUUUGAUGACUCUGAUUUUUUCUAUACCAGUGCACCAAUGUACCUUUACACAGCUGCUUUAACUUAGUGACAAUCAUUAAAGGUGGAGGAGUUUACACACUGAGGACAUGAAAAAGGAAAGCUGCACAGAUAAAUAAAAAUGGAAGCAAUGGAAUCCCAACAAGGCCCUUUUUUCCUGUUAUGCUGUUUUGAUGUGCAUAUGUUUACGUUUAGUGUAUAAAAUUCGGCACGGAUCCUCUCGGUGUGAGUUGUGUGCUUUUGAUUGUGUUUGU